ACGAGUGGCGCACGGGUGAGUAACGCGUGGAUAUCUGCCUUUUGGUUCGGAAUAGCCCCGGGAAACUUGUGCUAAUACCGGAUAAGCCCUUACGGGGAAAGUUUUAAUGCCAAAAGAUGAGCCCGCACUUGAUUAGCUAGUUGGUAAGGUAAUGGCUUACCAAGGCAACGAUCAAUAGCUGUUCUUAGAGGAAGACCAGCCACAUUGGGACUGAGACACGGCCCAAACUCC
rnacentral:rRNA from 1 species